AAUGAAGUGCCUGAUAAAAAGGAUUAUUUUGAUAGAAUAAAUCAUGUAUUUUAAUACCUUCAUUA
rnacentral:tRNA from 1 species